GUAGUUAUUUCUCUUAGAGGCCUGACUUUUGUUGGGACCUUUGAAUAUGUAUGCCAAACAUUGUCUGGAAACACAUAGUGUCCCCUAGGCACAAAUUUUCAAAUGUAUAUAUGCCACCGGGAUUGACAAAAUGCACUCAUUUAAAAUUAUUUUAAAAAAUGAUGGUAGUAUUUUGGCUAUCAUUUUGUAUUCGUCUCAUCAAUAGAUUCUCAAAAUACAAAAUAUCACAUGGAAACCAUUGAAAAAUUUUGAAGUGAAUAUGAAGUUUGGGAACUAAGAUGCAAUAUCCCUUCUCCUUUUAUUUAUUAAGACUUGUAAUGAUUCAAAAUAUCACAAAAACUGGAGAGAGGAUGAUUUCUUUGUUACUAUUAUUAUUAUUAAUAUGAACUGAGGGAACAGAGGACCAGUAGUACUGAUGAAAAGAUGAGUCUGAGGCUCAUGAAACAAUGGAAGACAAUAGUGACUCUGAUACUUGUAUGUACCCCAUGCCACUAGAACAUUAGGUACCAUGUGUAAAUGUCAAAUGAAAGUUUAUCUCCUUAUUUUACACACGUUAAGAUAAGAGAACAUUUUGUUUUAAUGGCAUUUUUCACUUGAGAAGAGUAGUAUUAUAGGAAUAUCUACCUAGUUCUUUUUUCUCCCUUUUAAAAAAAAUUUAAAUUCAAUUCAUUAACUAAUAUAAUGUAUUAUUAGUUUCAGAUAUAGAAUUCAGUGAUUCAUCAGUCUUAUAUAAUACCCAGUGCUCAUUACAUACAUGCCCUCCUAAAUGUCCAUCACCCAGUUACCCCAUUCCCCCCACCUUCUACCUAGGCCUUUAUCCUGACUAACCAGUGGCACCCCUGACUUUCUCUGUUGUUUUAUUUUUUAAAGAUUUAUUUUUUCAUUUGAGAGAGGGAGAGUGAGAGGCAUGCAAGUGGGGGCAGGGAGAGGGAGAGAGAAUCCCAAGCCGACUCCCCACUGAGCGUAGAGCCCAACCAAGGGCUUGCUCCCACAGCCUGUGAGAUCAUGACCUGAGCAAAAACCAAGACUCAGAUGCUCAACCAACUGAGCCACUCAAGUGUCCCUACUUUCUCUGGUUUUUAAACAUUUCUAGAGAAACCUGCAAAACCUUUUGAGUAUCUAAUUUUUACAAUUAGCACUGUCAGGUUUUCCUUCUUUUUAAUCUUAUGGCAAUGUAGGCUCAUUUCCUUUUGUUCAUUCUUCACUGCAUUCUUUAUAUGCUUAAAAGUAGUUUUCCUUUUCUCAAGCAAAAGAAUCCAGUUACUUCAGCUCUCAUGGAGCAUAUUUCCCACAAAGGAGCACACUCUGAAGUAUUUGUAUUAAAUUGUGCUCUGUGAGUAGACCGUGAGCAGCACAUCCCUAGAACAAAACACUCUGCCAUGAAUCUGCACAAAGGCAGGGUUUGAGAAAAUAUGCCAAGCCUUUCCCAGAUGAAAUGAGGACCCGGAACAGAACCCUUAUUACAAUUCAACAAACCAACUGCUCAUUCACAGUCAGAAUGUUCUCAGAGUCUCUCCUCUGCUGUUAUAUUCUGUGGGUUCCAUGCUUGCCUUGAUGUAUGCGCCUCAUCCCCAUUAACUUUAAUGAGUUUUACCCACACAUCAAAAGAGACUGACCCACGUAUGUGGAGAGCUGCCUUACGCUUUAUUUCUCAGGAAACAAGAUGCCACAGGGGUAAUCUUACAUGGGAAAAUAGCCAAGGUCUUCCUUAAGGCCUUCUCCCAUAACAGAUUCUGUUCCUGUUUCUCUUUGCAUUUGAAGUGCUUGGAGUCCAAAUAAACUUUUGCAUGUAAAAGAAAAAGUAAGAUUUUUAAGCUAAAAGUUUGGCAGCCCUGAAAAACAUAGUUUUCAUUUAAACAAUUUGAGAGAAUACACAUUGCUAAAGAAUUGUGACUAUAUUUGUAUUGAAUCAACUAAUACAUAUACAAAAUAACAUUUUUAACUCUUGGAUUUUCUAGAUUUGCUUAAAAGGGUUGAUGUUUUAAGUGUUUAACUAUAUUACGAUUAUUUUUCUAUUCUACUAUUACUACUGGUCCUGCUGUUGCUACUAUUAAUAUACUACCAGGAGGACUUGCUGAGUAAGAAUUCUGUUUUGCUUGUCUUAAAACGCCUCCCUUUCUCACUUUUUUGGGAAUGUCCUGCUAAAAGUUUAGUUACAUUGAAGGAAAUGGAAACAGUAUAUGAAGGAGGGAUGGCUUUUAUGAAAUGGAAUUUGUGGAAUGCCCUUAUUUUGGAUGAGUUGCAGACUUCCAAAUUCCACAGAAACCCAAAUAAAAACAGUUAUAUGCCAGUUAAAACAAGACUUCACUCA
rnacentral:lncRNA from 1 species